ACUCCUACGGGAGGCAGCAGUAAGGAAUAUUGGGCAAUGGACGCAAGUCUGACCCAGCCAUGCCGCGUGCAGGAUGAAGGCCUUUUGGUUGUAAACUGCUUUUCUGAGGGAAGAAAAGUAUCUAUUUAUGGGUACCUGACGGUACCUCAGGAAUAAGCACCGGCUAACUCCGUGCCAGCAGCCGCGGUAAUAC
rnacentral:rRNA from 1 species